rnacentral:rRNA from 1 species
CCUACGGGAGGCAGCAGUGGGGAAUAUUGGACAAUGGGGGCAACCCUGAUCCAGCCAUGCCGCGUGUGUGAAGAAGGCCCUCGGGUUGUAAAGCACUUUCAGUGAGGAAGAACGCCUGGUGGUUAAUACCCAUCAGGAAAGACAUCACUCACAGAAGAAGCACCGGCUAACUCCGUGCCAGCAGCCGCGGUAAUACGGAGGGUGCGAGCGUUAAUCGGAAUUACUGGGCGUAAAGCGCGCGUAGGUGGCUUGAUAAGCCGGUUGUGAAAGCCCCGGGCUCAACCUGGGAACGGCAUCCGGAACUGUCAAGCUAGAGUGCAGGAGAGGAAGGUAGAAUUCCCGGUGUAGCGGUGAAAUGCGUAGAGAUCGGGAGGAAUACCAGUGGCGAAGGCGGCCUUCUGGACUGACACUGACACUGAGGCGCGAAAGCGUGGGUAGCAAACAGGAUUAGAUACCCUAGUAGUC